rnacentral:rRNA from 1 species
GAUGAACGCUGGCGGCAGGCCUAACACAUGCAAGUCGAACGGUAGCACAGAGAGCUUGCUCUCGGGUGACGAGUGGCGGACGAGUGAGUAAUGUCUGGGAAACUGCCUGAUGGAGGGGGAUAACUACUGGAAACGGUAGCUAAUACCGCAUAACGUCGCAAGACCAAAGAGGGGGACCUUCGGGCCUCUUGCCAUCAGAUGUGCCCAGAUGGGAUUAGCUAGUAGGUGGGGUAACGGCUCACCUAGGCGACGAUCCCUAGCUGGUCUGAGAGGAUGAACAGCCACACUGGAACUGAGACACGGUCCAGACUCCUACGGGAGGCAGCAGUGGGGAAUAUUGCACAAUGGGCGCAAGCCUGAUGCAGCCAUGCCGCGUGUAUGAAGAAGGCCUUCGGGUUGUAAAGUACUUUCAGCGGGGAGGAAGGUGUUGUGGUUAAUAACCGCAGCAAUUGACGUUACCCGCAGAAGAAGCACCGGCUAACUCCGUGCCAGCCGCCGCCGUAA